GUCCACUGAAUCUGAUUUUCAGGAUCAUUCAUUCUCUCACUUGUAAUUUACAGAUUGCAGUCCAAAGUGAUGACAUCAACCAGAUAAGGUUGAAGGCAGAUAAAAAAUAAGGUUAUCUAUUGCCUUCUGCCCAAGCUUGUUUGAGAAGGUGUUUGGUUUUCUAUUGCUGUGUAAUAGAUAAUCACAAAGUUAGCAUCUAAAAUAACAAUGUAAGUUCAUUAUCUCAGUUUCCAUGGGUCAGGAGUCCAGGUACCUGUUAGCUGAGUCCUCUCUUCAAGGGUCCCCCCUGGCUAAAAUCAAGAUGAUGUCUGGGGCAGCACUCGCAUCCGAAACCUAAGGUCCUCUUCCAAGCUCAUGUGGUUGGCAGGAUUCAGUUCCUUGUGAACUGAAUUGAGGAAUGAAGUAAUUUAUUAUCCAAGCCAGAGUACUUAGAGCGGCUUUGAGGAGAUAACCCACGUCCAAGGGCAAAGGAGAAGCCCCAGCAAGACAGUAGGAAGGGCGAAAUCGCAUUUAGUAUCAAACCCCAAACCCACCAGAGAUGCUUACAGGGCUCAAACAAACCUUGUGUGCACCAGGAAACAAGAGACCCAACAGAGACUGAGCCAGAACUGUGUUUGAGUGUCUCCUGUGGAGGUACAGGUCAGCAGUGGGCUGCCGCAGGGCAGGGGCUCUGGGCGCAGCAGACCUGUGUAUGGCAUAAGCCGCCGUGGAGGAGGUCGCAAUUAACCCCACCAUAGAGCCACCAGAACUUACACAGGACUGGGGAGACAGACUCUUGAAGGUCACAACAAAACCUUGUGCACACCAGGACCCAUGAGAAAGGAGCAGUGACCCCACAAGAGACUGACCCAGACUUGCCCGUGAGUGUCCAGAGUCUCCAGUGGAGGUGUGGGUUGGCGGUGGCCUGCUGCAGGGUUGGGGGCACUGAGUGUAGCAGUGCACGUAUGGGACCUUUUGAAGGAGCUCACCAUUAACUUCAUUACCUCCACCAUAGAGUGGCCCCCGGGUAAAUAAUAGGGAGGGAACACAGCCCCACCCAUUAACAGAGAGCUGGAUUAAAGAUUUACUGAGCAUGGCCCCGCCCAUCAGAACAAGACCCAGUUUCUCCCUCAGUCUCUCCCAUCAGGAAUCUUCCAUAACCCUCUUAUCCCUAUCCAUCAGAGGGCAGACAGACUGAAAACCACGCAGAAAACUAACCAAUCUGAUCACAUGGACCACAGCCUUGUCUAACUCAAUGAAACUAUGAGCCAUGACAUGUAGGACCACCCAAGAUGGAUGUGUCAUGGUGGAGAGUUGUGAUAAAACAUGGUCCACUGGAGAAGGGAAUGGCAAACCACUUCAGUAUUCUUGCCUUGAGAACCCCACGAACAGUGUGAAAGGCAAAAAGAUAAGACCCUGAAAGAUGAACUCCCCAGGUUGGUAGAUGCCCAACAUGCUAUUGGAGAUCAGAGGAGAAAUAACUGCAGAAAGACUGAAGAGACAGAGCCAAAGCAAAAACACCCAGUUGUAGAUGUGACUGGUGAUGGAAGUAAAUUCUGAUGCUGUAAAGAGCAAUACUGCAUAGGAACCUGGAAUGUUAGGUCCGUGAAUCAAGGCAAAUUAGAAGUGGUCAAACAGGAGAUGGCAAGAGUGAACAUUGACAUUUUAGGAAUCAGUGACCUAAAAUGGACUGAAUGGAUGAAUUUAACUCAGAUGACCAUUAUACCUACUACUGUGGGCAAAAAUCCCUUAGAAGAAAUGGCGUAACCAUCAUAGUCAACAAAAGAGUCUGAAAUACAGUACUUGGAUUCAAUCUCAAAAACGACAGAAUGAUCUCUCUUCGUUUCCAAGGCAAAUGGUUCAAUAUCAUAGUAAUCCAACUCUGUGCUACAACCAGUAAUGCUGAAGUUGAAUGGUUCUAUGAAGACCUACAAGACCUUUUAGAACUAACACCCCCAAAAGAUGUCCUUUUCAUUAUAGGGGACUGGGAUUCAAAAGUAAGAAGUCAAGAAAUACCUGGAGUACAGGCAAAUUUAGCCUUGGAGUAUGGAAUGAAGCAGGGCAAAGGCUAAUAGAGUUUUACCAAGAAAAUGCUACUGGCCAUAGCAAACACCCUCUUCCAACGACACAAGAGAAGACUACACAUGAACAUCACCAGAUGGUCAACACCAAAAUCAAAUUGAUUAUAUUCUUUGCGGCCCAAGAUGGAGAAAUCCCAAAAACAAGACGAGGAGCUGACUGUGGCUCAGAUCAUGAACUCUGUAUUGCCAAAUUCAGACUUAAAUUGAAGAAAAUAGGGAAAACCACCAGACCAUUCAGGUAUGACCUAAAACAAAUCCCUUAGGAUUAUGCAGUGGAAGUGAGAAAUAGAUUCAAGGGAUUAGAAAUAACAGACAGAGUGCCUGAAGAACUAUUUACGGAGGUUUGUGACAUUGUACAGGAGGCAACGAUCAAGACCAUCCCCAAGAAAAAGAAAUGCAAAAAGGCAAAAUGUUGUCUGAGGAGGCCUUACAAAUAGUUGUGAGAAGAGAAAUGAAAGGCAAAGGGGAAAAGGAAAGAUAUACCCAUUUGAAUGCAGAGUUCCAUAGAAAGCAAGGAGAGAUAAGAAAGCCUUCCUCAGUGGUCAAUGCAAAGAAAUAGAGGAAAACAAUAGAAUGGGAAAGACUAGAGAUCUCUUCAAGAAAAUUAGAGAUACCAAGGGAACAUUUCAUGUAAAGAUGGGCCAAUAAAGGACAGAAAUGGUAUGGACCUAACAGAAGCAGAAGAUAUUAAGAAGAGGUGGCAAGAAUACAUGGAAGAACUAUACAAAACAGAUGGUCAUGACCCAGAUAAUCACCAUGGUGUAAUCAUUCACCUAGAGCCAGACAUCCUGGAAUGUGAAGUCAAGUGGGCCUUAGGAAUCAUCACUAUGAACAAAGCUAGUGGAGGUGAUGGAAUUUCAGUUGAGCUACUUCAAAUCCUAAAAGAUGAUGCUGUGAAAGUGUUGCACUCAAUAUGCCAGCACAUUUGGAAAACUCAGCAGUGGCCACAGGACUGGAAAAGGUCAGUUUUCAUUCCAAUCCCCAAGAAAGGCAAUGCCAAAGAAUGCUCAAACUACUGCACAGUUGCACUCAUCUCACACGCUAGCAAAGUAAUGCUCAAAAUUCUCCAAGGUAGGCUUCAACAGUACGUGAACCGUGAACUUCCAGAUGUUCAAGCUGGAUUUAGAAAAGACAGAGGAACCAGAGAUCAAAUUGCCAACAUCUGAUGGAUCAUUGAAAAAGCAAGAGAGUUCCAGGAAAAAACAUUUACUUCUGCUUCAUUGACUAUGCGAAAGCCUUUGACUGUGUGGAUCACCACAAACUGUGGAAAAUUCUUCAAGAGAUGGGGAUACCAGACCACCUGACCUGCCUCCUGAGAAAUCUGUAUGCAGGUCAAAAAGCAACAGUUAGAACCAGACAUGGAACAGACUGGUUCCAAAUUGAGAAAGGAACUCGUCCAGGCUGUAUAUUGUCACCCUGCUUAUUUAACUUCUAUGCAGAGUACAUCAUGAGAAACACUAAGCUGAAUGAAGCACAAGCUGGGAUCAAGAUUGCUGGGAGAAAUAUCAAUAACCUUAGAUAUGCAGAUGUCACCAUCCUUAUGGCAGAAAGUGAAGAACUAAAGAAUCUGUUGAUGAAAGUGAAAGAGGAGAGUGAAAAAGUUGGCUUAAAGCUCAACAUUCAGAAAAGGCACCUAUGAAUAUUUGCAAGAAACAGUACUCAAGUCACUCAGCAAGAAUUUUUUUUUUUUUGCAUCUCAGUUUUCUUUUUCUGGUCUCCUCUCCUGAUUAUAUUUCAACAGUGUAAAGGAGUAAACUCCAAGAGAUGGUGAGGGACAAGGAAGCCUGGCGUGCUGCAGUGCAUGAGAAUUGACAACUGAGCAACAACAAAGAAGACUGUAUUGGUUGUCUACUUCUUUCCAAAGGAAUUUUAUUUUCUGUUUUUCUUUGAAAACAGGGAGCCAUUCUCCACUGGCUAGAGCAUGUUCUAUUUUGUAUUCUUGUUAUCAG
ensembl:lncRNA